rnacentral:rRNA from 1 species
GUCCCAGCCGUAAACGAUGAUCACUAGGUGUGGGGACACUGAGCCUCCGUGCCGAAGCCAACGCAUUAAGUGAUCCGCCUGGGGAGUACGGCCGCAAGGCUAAAACUCAAAGGAAUUGACGGGGACCCGCACAAGCAGCGGAGCAUGUGGCUUAAUUCGAUGCAACGCGAAGAACCUUACCUGGCCUUGACAUGCAGGUGAAGCGGCGGAAACGCCGUGGCCGGAAGGAGCCUGCGCAGGUGGUGCAUGGCUGUCGU